CUUGCUAAUACUGAACACUCCUAUCAUGGGAGACUGCUGGGAGCAAAAUCCCCAACUCGGAAUCUUCGUAGCUUAAAACCACCACAGACAGAACACUAUGUUCCUACACUACUCUUCCACCUUUAGAUGUAGAUGUGAGGUUCUUGCUGAUAUCUGGAAGGGAAUAUGAACAAGCUUUCGAAGCUAAAUGCAUUUGUGAAAGUCACUUAGUAGCCACAUGCUCCUUCAGGUUGUUCUACCUGUUUUUGUUUGUGCUGACAAGGAUAUUGAAAGCUUGGAUGAAGUGAAGAGAGGUUCAAGGAAGAGUAGUUGUUCAGCAUUUAAUAAUAUUGUUCUCAAUCUUAUUCUUGUGUUUUAAUGUAUAGAUGAUUGAGAAAUACUACAUUUAUAGUACAUUUGAUGCUUUAAUGUAUGGA